GACGAACGCUGGCGGCGUGCUUAACACAUGCAAGUCGAACGGAAAGGCCCUGCUUUUGUGGGGUGCUCGAGUGGCGAACGGGUGAGUAACACGUGAGUAACCUGCCCUUGACUUUGGGAUAACUUCAGGAAACUGGGGCUAAUACCGGAUAGGAGCUCUUGCUGCACGGUGGGGGUUGGAGAGUUUCGGCGGUUGGGGAUGGACUCGCGGCUUAUCAGCUUGUUGGUGGGGUUGUGGCUUACCAGGGCUUCGACGGGUAGCCCGCCUGAGAGGGUAACCGGCCACAUUGGGACUGAGAUACGGCCCAGACUCCUACGGGAGGCAGCAGUGGAGAAUAUUGCACAAUGGGCGGAAGCCUGAUGCAGCAACGCCGCGUGCGGGAUGACGGCCUUCGGGUUAUAAACCGCUUUCGCCUGUGACGAAGCGUGAGUGACGGUAAUGGGUAAAGAAGCACCGGCUAACUACGUG
rnacentral:rRNA from 1 species